CCUACGGGAGGCUGCAGUGGGGAAUAUUGGGCAAUGGGCGCAAGCCUGACCCAGCAACGCCGCGUGAAGGAAGAAGGCUUUCGGGUUGUAAACUUCUUUUAAGAGGGAAGAGCAGAAGACAGUACCUCUUGAAUAAGCCACGGCUAACUACGUGCCAGCAGCGGCGGUAAUACGUAGGUGGCAAGCGUUGUCCGGAUUUACUGGGGGUAAAGGGCGUGCAGCCGGGAAGACAAGUCAGAUGUUAAAUCCCGCGGCUCAACCGCGGAACUGCAUUUGAAACUGUUUUUCUUGAGUACCGGAGAGGUCAUCGGAAUUCCUUGUGUAGCGGUGAAAUGCGUAGAUAUAAGGAAGAACACCAGUGGCGAAGGCGGAUGACUGGACGGCAACUGACGGUGAGGCGCGAAAGCGUGGGGAGCAAACAGGAUUAGAUACCCUUGUAGUC
rnacentral:rRNA from 1 species